rnacentral:rRNA from 1 species
UACGUAGGUGGCAAGCGUUACUCGGAAUCACUAGGCGUAAAGCGCAGGUAGGCGGUUCGGUAAGUCUCUUGUGAAAGCUCCCGGCUCAACUGGGAGAGGUCAAGGGAAACUGCCGGGCUAGAGUGCGGCAGAGGAAGCUGGAAUUCCCGGUGUAGCGGUGAAAUGCGUAGAGAUCGGGAGGAAUACCUAUGGCGAAAGCAGGCUUCUGGGCCGUCACUGACACUGAUCUGCGAAAGCUAGGGGAGCAAACAGG